UACGAAGGGUGCAAGCGUUACUCGGAAUUACUGGGCGUAAAGCGUGCGUAGGCGGUUCGUUAAGUCUGAUGUGAAAGCCCUGGGCUCAACCUGGGAAUGGCAUUGGAAACUGGCGAUCUAGAGUGCGGUAGAGGGUAGUGGAAUUCCCGGUGUAGCAGUGAAAUGCGUAGAGAUCGGGAGGAACAUCUGUGGCGAAGGCGACUGCCUGGACCAGCACUGACACUGAGGCACGAAAGCGUGGGGAGCAAACAGG
rnacentral:rRNA from 1 species